rnacentral:piRNA from 1 species
UAUGAACUUGACUUUGAUGCC